CACACGCUGCUCGUGAAAGCGACGGUUGGUCGCUAGAGACAGCGCUGAACGGAGAGUCGGCUGAUGCGGAUAUAAAGCCACGAAUGCGACUCUUCAUAAUGGGAUCAUGUUUCUUUCUGAUCAAAUCACAAGGUCAGAGAUGGGUCUUGUGGACAUAUAUCUAAAGGCAUCCUGCCUAACAUCUUUAUGAGAUUUACUAAGCAGCUGUAAUACACACACACACACACAUACACAUAUAUAAGCAUGGCACCAGUCCCACCUGGCACCCGCUUCCUGGCAUCCUUCAAUAGGGACCAAUGGUACAGGGCCUUCACGUUUGCACUCACGUUCCUGCUCUACACAAGCUUCCAUCUGUCCAGGAAGCCCAUCAGCA